AGUGAAGGGGGAAAGUAUUGCCAUUAUAUUUUAAUUAAAAAUGUAUAAUAAAUAAAAAGCCUUGGACUUAUCGAGCUGAAGAAUGCUUGAUAUAAGCCAAAAGCCAAAGCCAGUAAAUAGCAAGAGAAACCUUAAUGCUGCUACUUACAGACCCAGCAACUGAAUCCUCCUAAUAUUCCAUACAUUAGAGGUUGCUUGCUCAACUUUCCCCUUCUUGUUCGAGGCAAUUUCAUGUCUGUCUAAUCCACUGACAUAUUGUCCACAUGCAACACAAUGCCUUCUACCUAGCUGAUAUUCACUAAUAUAUGGAAAGAAAGAAAAAAAAAGGAAAUAAAGUAAGAAUUUUCACUAAGUAUUGAGAAUGUGAUGAACAAUGGAUUUGCCGGAAUAGUUUGCAAGUUUGCAAAUGCCUAUCGUUUUUCAAAGGUAUUUAGGUUUUCAAAGACAUAAAAAUCAAAUUAUGGACAAAUACUAGAAGUUAGUUAAUAGUAACUAUAUAUUCAAAAAUUUAAGAUAUUGGAUAUAUGCAUUGUAUUGUACCUGCUUAGCAUGCAUGUGGUCAUAGGUUCAAGUUCCAGCUCCAGAUUAUCAAACAACAAAAGUCUGCUUAUUUAAUUAGCAUAUAUAGGCACAUAUACUUGUAUAUGUGUAUCCAUGCAUAGUAAUAUGUACACAUGGCAUGCUCGUAUAUAUGGAAGAUAGCGUUCUGAAGCUGCUUCUCACCUACCAUGUUGUAGAAUCUGGGGAUAAAACUCAGGUCAUUAGGCCUGUGAAUAAACCCCUGCUAAUCCUUCUUGUUAACACUAAAGGAGCAAACUUAUAAAAAAAUUAGACUGUGAUUACAGUAUUGAAUUUUAUGGAGGGCCCUCCAUGUCCUAAAAGAAGCUAAUCCAGAGAGAGAGAGAGAGAGAGAGACUGCAUAGUGAAUUAAAAACCUAUGAAUACCUGCUAGGGAUUGAGAAAUGUGUUUAACACCAAAUCAAAUACAAAACCAUGAACCUGAUAUGAUUAGCUCUCCAUCAUGAUGGCGAAUACCAAGGAGACGCAAUUUACAAAAUGGGAACAUUUAUUUUGCCUCAAAAUUUUGAAAGUUUCAACCCAGCAGUAUCUCGAUUUAUGCCUUUGGGCUUCAGGUGAAGGAAAAUAUGGAGUAGGUAGAACCUAAGUUAGAGGUUGUUUGCCUCAUGGAGCACUGAGCUGAGAGGGACAGGAAGGUUUUGGAAGCUCAGCCCCCAGUGACUUUGUAAGUGGGGUAAUCAAUCUAUCAUUAUGUGAGAGCACUCGUGAUCCAAUUAUGGGAUUCAUUAAUAGAAGACCAAACCUUCAACGUGAGACUUUAGGGUAAGGGGAUACUUCCUAUUAAAAUGGCAAUAGGCUCAGUCAGAUUCUGCACUCAGACAGGGGAGACCAGCAACCAACCUCUGCUGUUUACCUGUAGUCCAGCUUAAUAAAUGGUAGAACCCUUGAAGACAAAACAGGUUAGGAAAAUACAUCAGUAAUCAGAUGUGUCAGAUGAAAAGCCAAAGGGUUCUGCUUCUGUGUGAUGUCAGAAUAGGAAGAGCCAAUGAGACAUAAAGUAGACUGCUGACGAGUGGGAGCUCACUCAGGAAAAGGUGCUGAUAGAGAAGAAGGUAGUCGCUAACCCUUGCUAACACAGGGGCUUCGAGGGGCUCGAAAUGUCACAGCAUGCGUGAUAACAAUGCCUGGGAGACUACAGUAGAACUGUUACAGCUGCAGGAGCAUCCCUGGCACUUAUCCAUCCACUCCUAUCUCAAGGCAAAGAUCAAGGCAAAUGUCAACAGAGAGAAGUAUAAGCUGACAUAGCUUCCACUGGAAUGCUCGUACAACGGGUGUGUGCCAAGACAAUGGCAGUUUUCAUAUGGUAGGCAGGUAACUGGAUUUUGUUAAGGGAGUUAAAUUGGACAAUUUGCAGCUGCUUAUGAAUGAAUUAGAGUCAUCCACAAGUUGAGAUGAUAAAUAGCUUAGGUCUUUUGUUCUGCAGAUCUGAACUGUUGUAAAACAGCUGAACUCACUAGAAGAAGGCAUCAGUGUUUAUAAAGCUCUCAUUUUGAUGAGCUAGGAUCUAAAGUUACUAGGUUAUUCUCUUGAAAGCUCUUCAUCAUAAUCGACAGUUAAAGGGUAUCUUUGUCAUCUGUGGGGGAGGGGUGACAUGUGAGUAACAAACUUGUAACAUGUCAUGUUCUGAUUGGAGUUAACAGUUUACCUACCCACCACUGUUUGCCAUAGAAAUCAAUAUUUGGAGUGUUUUUAAAACCCACUUGAAAUAAAUUGGAAACUUGCUUAACUUUUCAAGCAGAAAUAUUGUUAUUAAUUAUUCUCAUUAUAGAACUUGAAACCAAUUAUAUGAAAAUUAAAGUCACAAACACACAUAAUUAUCACAUACAACAUUAUGCAUUUUCA